rnacentral:rRNA from 1 species
GAAUCCCGUAUAUGGCAUGGACUCCCGUUGCUCUGUGAUACACUCUCGACGAGUCGAGUUGUUUGGGAAUGCAGCUCUAAAUGGGUGGUAAAUGCCAUCUAAAGCUAAAUAUUGGCGAGAGACCGAUAGCGAACAAGUACCGUGAGGGAAAGAUGAAAAGCACUUUGGAAAGAGAGUGAAACAGUACGUGAAAUUGUUGAAAGGGAAACGCUUGAAGUCAGUCGCGCCGUUCGGGAUUCAGCCUUGCUUCUGCUCGGUUUACUUCCCGUUGGGUGGGUCAACAUCAGUUUCGGUCGGAGGAGAAAGACUUGGGGAAGGUAGCAGCAUUCGUGCUGUGUUAUAGCCCCUUGUUGUAUACUUCGAUUGGGACUGAGGACCGCAGCACGCCUUUGGCCGGGGUUCGCCCACGUACGUGCUUAGGAUGUUGGCAUAAUGGCUUUAAGCGACCCGUCUUGAAACACGGACCAAGGAGUCUAACAUGUGCGCGAGUGUUUGGGUGUUAAACUCGGACGCGAAAUGAAAGUGAAAGGUUGGGAACACUUAUGUGUGCACCAACGCCCGGAGCUGACCUCCUGUGACGCAUCUGCGGUAGAGCGUAUAUGUUGGGACCCGAAAGAUGGUGAACUAUGCCUGAAUAGGGUGAAGCCAGAGGAAACUCUGGUGGAGGCUCGUAGCGAUUCUGACGUGCAAAUCGAUCGUCAAAUUUGGGUAUAGGGGCGAAAGACUAAUCGAACCAUCUAGUAGCUGGUUCCUGCC